AGAGUUUGAUCAUGGCUCAGAAUCAACGCUGGCGGCGCGCCUAACACAUGCAAGUCGAACGAGAAAGGGGAGCAAUCCCUGAGUACAGUGGCGUACGGGUGAGUAACACGUGGAUGAUCUACCUUCUGGUGAGGAAUAACCCUGGGAAACCGGGGCUAAUACCGCAUAAGCCCGAGAGGGGAAAGUCGCAAGACGCCGGAAGAGGAGUCCGCGGCCGAUUAGCUAGUUGGCAGGGUAAAAGCCUACCAAGGCGAAGAUCGGUAGCCGGCCUGAGAGGGCACACGGCCACACCGGCACUGAAACACGGGCCAGACUCCUACGGGAGGCAGCAGUGGGGAAUCUUGCACAAUGGGGGAAACCCUGAUGCAGCGACGCCGCGUGAGCGAUGAAGCCCUUCGGGGUGUAAAGCUCUUUCGGCAGGGAAGAUGAUGACGGUACCUGCAGAAGCAGCUGCGGCUAACUACGUGCCAGCAGCCGCGGUAAUACGUAGGCAGCAAGCGUUGUUCGGAGUUACUGGGCGUAAAGGGUGUGUAGGCGGUUGUUUAAGUUUGGUGUGAAAUCUCCCGGCUCAACUGGGAGGGUGCGCCGAAUACUGAAUGACUCGAGUGCGGGAGAGGAGAGUGGAAUUCCUGGUGUAGCGGUGAAAUGCGUAGAUAUCAGGAGGAACACCGGUGGUGUAGACGGCUCUCUGGACCGUAACUGACGCUGAGACACGAAAGCGUGGGUAGCAAACAGGAUUAGAUACCCUGGUAGUCCACGCCCUAAACGAUGCAUAUUUGGUGUGGGCAGUUCAGUCUGUCCGUGCCGGAGCUAACGCGUUAAAUAUGCCGCCUGGGGAGUACAGUCGCAAGGCUGAAACUCAAAGGAAUUGACGGGGCCCGCACAAGCGGUGGAGCAUGUGGUUCAAUUCGACGCAACGCGAAGAACCUUACCUGGGCUCGAACGGCUGUCAACGGAGUG
rnacentral:rRNA from 1 species